AAGAAUCAGUCCAUGAUAUAUUUUAUAGAUAAUUGGCUCUCUCCCCCGACCUUAUUCAUGCCCAUGGCAUUCGUAACCUUUAAGUCUCCAUAAUUAAACUCACGUGCAGCAAUCACACAAGGGGAACCCUUGGGUUGGUCCCAACUUGAUAAUUCAUGUGAGUUUUCCAAUCUAAGUUUAAAUUAAACUGUGAAUGACCCUUGUUUGUUUUGUUUUUUUGCUUACCGGCUUUAAGUUAUAGGUUAAUUUAGUUGUUCUGGGUCUCGGCCCCAGGUUAAUAAUCGCUUCUAUUUGCAUUUUUAUAUAUUGUAUUCACUUGUGGGAUCUUAUUGAUGCUAAGUGACUUUUUUCUUUAUUAGGGUUAUUCUUGCCUGUUUAUUAAAAAUAAAAAUUACAGACUUUUGUUUUUACCAAUUUAAUUCAGACUUUUAAUUUACACAAUCUUUGUGUAAUAAAGAAUUAGGUUAAAUUAUAAUUUUAAUUUUCAGUAAUUCUUGAUCUACUAUUUUGAUUUUCUUAAUCUUUUUAAUGAUUUUAUUCCAUUGCAUUUUAAAAAUCUGUAAUUUUGAUUUACUAUUUAAUUUUGCAUGCGUUCUAUUUUUUGUGGUAUUCUUGGUACAUUAUUUUUCAUUAAUAUGUAUUAAUUGGCCGUGGCAGUAAGGGACCAAAUGUUUGGAAAAACAUGCAUGUUGCAAAAGGAAUAUUAUAAUAUGAUCUGGAUUCUGGACAGUUUUUUUAGUAUAUGCUAAAGAAAAGGCUUGCUUCUACAAGAUAUUAGGGAAAUCCUUGCCGCUGGUUUCUCCUUUUCUGGUAUUGAUGUAUUAAGAAAAUGUAACCAAAGGAUAAUUCAUAAAUUAGCCCAAUAUGUGGUGAAAAAGGAGG
rnacentral:lncRNA from 1 species